GUCCAGGGGUGGAUGUCUGCAUCAGAGACUUUAGUGAUAAGAAAAUCCGGAUCAGAGAGAUGCGUCGGGUGAAGGUUGGCCAUAUUGCCACUGGAAUCAGUGAUCAGAUCUCUGAGAGGGUUUUCACACUGAAAACUGAGCACGGCCAGCAGAUUGGUCACGAUGAGGAGGUGCAAGAGUCCGGCCUGGAGCUCCGCUGUUUUCCAGCUCCAGACUUCAGCACUUCCUGGAGAUGGAGAAUCAAA